CUUUCCCUCUUUCUUUCGGCCUAACACAUGCAAGUCGAGCGGCAGCACAGUAAGAGCUUGCUCUUACGGGUGGCGAGUGGCGGACGGGUGAGGAAUACAUCGGAAUCUACUUUUUCGUGGGGGAUAACGUAGGGAAACUUACGCUAAUACCGCAUACGACCUACGGGUGAAAGCAGGGGAUCUUCGGACCUUGCGCGAUUGAAUGAGCCGAUGUCGGAUUAGCUAGUUGGCGGGGUAAAGGCCCACCAAGGCGACGAUCCGUAGCUGGUCUGAGAGGAUGAUCAGCCACACUGGAACUGAGACACGGUCCAGACUCCUACGGGAGGCAGCAGUGGGGAAUAUUGGACAAUGGGCGCAAGCCUGAUCCAGCCAUACCGCGUGGGUGAAGAAGGCCUUCGGGUUGUAAAGCCCUUUUGUUGGGAAAGAAAAGCAGCAGGUUAAUACCCCGCUGUUCUGACGGUACCCAAAGAAUAAGCACCGGCUAACUUCGUG
rnacentral:rRNA from 1 species